CUUGUCAAGGCGAUAAUCUUGUGACUCACUGUCACGAGGGAGGCUUCUCUUUCAAGCCAGCCACAAUCGUAAUCCACUCACUCCUGGGUCUGUGCUUGCUCCUGCAGACGGGAGGGCACCUCCUGGCUUUGUUGGUACCUUCAGGAGCACAUCAGAAACUACUGGAUUCAAAUGAGGGUAGUGAGUGUGGUCCCACAAGGAAUUUCAUUAAUACAGCUGGGAGAAGGCAGUGGAUUGCUGUGCUGGCACUGGAGUGACUCCUCCAGGCAGAAGAGUCCCUCCUGGCAGCGGGAAAAGAUGUCUGGAGCCAGGAUUGCACCAGGGCAGUGUGCUGCAGAAUUGCACCCUCCAAAAUGCAGAACUGUGACUCCCCUACCUGGACCAAAACUACACACAGAUCCUGGUGUCCUUUACUAUUGAAUUGUAAAUUCAAUGUGAGCAGCAAUAACGGAUACAUAAACCCAACCUUUUCCCAAAGUAAUCGAAAAAUGUGGAUUAUUUGCACGCCCUCUUCGGUCGUGGAGGCUUAGGCGAAAUGGAUAAACACUGGCAGUGAUUACACGAACGAAAUGGAAAUUGCGGUAUUCCCACGUCGAACGUAUAUAUUUAUACUUCUAACUGCAAAUAGAGGGCUGUGUCCGCCAAGCCAUUAGCACCGCGGGGAAGAAAAGCAGAAGGGGAUGAAGGCGUCGCCUCCCCGGCGGUGAAUUAGCAGCAUCG
rnacentral:lncRNA from 1 species